rnacentral:ncRNA from 3 species
UACGUGAACCUGCGGAAGGAUCAUUA